AAUUCUUUUUCUACUUACCCAAUGAUGUGAUAACUUUCUACUAUAGUUUUGGGGGUAGUAAUAGCAAUUUUUCAUCAUACAAAUAAAUAAAUAAAUAAAAAAAAUAAAAAAAAUAAAAU
rnacentral:rRNA from 1 species